rnacentral:rRNA from 1 species
CAAUGGCCAAACUUCCUUGACAAAAGCCUGAUCUCGUCAGAUCUCAGAAGCAAAGCUGGGCUGGGCCUGAUUAGUAUUUGGAUGGCAGACUGCUGGAAAUACCAGGUGAUACAGUGG